rnacentral:lncRNA from 1 species
UCUCACAAGAUCUGAUGGUUUUAAAAAGAGGCUUUCUCCUGCACAAGCUCUCUCAUUUUUUGCCUUCUGCUAUCCACGUAAGAUGUGACUUGCUCUUCCUUGCCUUCCACCAUGACUGUGAGGCUUCCCCAGCCACAUGGAACUCAGGGACGGGGUUUCACCAUGUUGGCCAGGCUGUUCUCGAACUCUUGACCUUGUGAUCUGCCCACCUUGGCCUCCCAAGGUGCUGAGAAUACAGGCGCGAGCCACCGCCCCUGGCCAGGUAUUCAAGUGAAACCUCCAGGGAUUCCUCAAGGCCUGCCAUUUCAUUUCACAUCAAUUUUCUCAAAUUUUAUGGGAUAAUCACUGUGAAAAAAACAUUUUAAAUGGUCCAUUUUCAAGGCAUGAUAAAUCUAACUACUGGCAGCCAGCCUAAGGAUGUAAAAAACCACACAGCUUGUGCACCUGGAAAGUCACGAUAAGCGAACAGACUGUAAAGGAGAGGUCAGCCCAUAAAAGGGAAGAAAGUUUCAUUAUUGGGAAAUCAAACUUAAGCUGGGAAGGCGAUGGGAGGGUAUAACCUUAUAAGGGGGGUAAUAAAACUUAGGCUUUGUCUGGAAAGAUUGUAACCCGAUAGUACUCGACCAGUGAGGAACUGGGGCAGGGACUUGCAUGCUAGGAGAUAAAUUACAUGCUGAUUUAUCAUUAGGAGAUAAAUUAGGAGAUUGGGUGUGCCUGCCUACCAGACACCCAAUCUUGCAAGACCACCAUGCAAAGUCUUGCUUCCACUGUUCUUUGUGUCUCCAAGUCCAUUCUUUGAGUUUGGAUGGGUGAAUGUGUUUCUCACAAUCACUUUCUAAAGAAGGCAUAAAUGAAUAUUACUGCCAUUCUCCAGCCUCUGUCCCUAUUAUCCACCUCUAGCCUACAUGUCAUGUUCUGGCCAAACAGAAAAGAAGGUUGAACUCCAGGGAAUAAAAAAGCAUGGUUAACUAGAAAUACGACCAGUAAUACCCAAGCCCUGUUAGUAUGUUCCCUUUGCAUUAUUUGUGGAUAAAGCACUUUUCAACAAGAUGUGGAAGUAUAAUAUUCUUACAUUUAUGCCUGAAGUUAUUAACCAGUAAUUGUUCCAAGUGACUUUUUUUGAAUGACAUUUAAUGGGACUAUACAGAUAAUUUCAUACUAUCCAUGUUUUUACCCAACUGAGGAACUAUUUACAAGAUCAGACUGCAAACAGAAAAUAAAUCUGUGUACAAAAAAAUGAUUUAGAAUUCAGAGAUAUCCUUCAUUCCUUUCUCUCCUUACCCCUUACAUUCCGUUCAUCAGUAUCUUCUAAAAUUUUACCUACAGAAAAUCACUUGAUCAGUCAAUUUUUUUCCAUUUCAUUAUUAUAAUGCUAAUCCAAGCCACCAUCAUGUUAUACUUGGACCUGAAUUGAUCUCUCGCCUCUCUGCAAUCCAUUCUUCAAGAGCAGUCACAGUAAUACUUUUGAUUUUAUUAAAGAAUAUUGAAAGUUCAGUAAAUAUAAAUAAUUUUACAACAAACAUCAGUGUUUUCACUACCUAGAGUUUACAAAU